UACGGAAGGGGCAAGCGUUGUUCGGAAUCAUUGGGCGUAAAGGGCUCGUAGGCGGUUUGUCGCGUCGGGAGUGAAAUCCACUGGCUUAACUGGUGGCUUGCUUUCGAUACGGGCAGACUGGAGGUAUGCAGGGGAGAACGGAAUUCCUGGUGUAGCGGUGAAAUGCGCAGAUAUCAGGAGGAACACCGGUGGCGAAGGCGGUUCUCUGGGCAUGUCCUGACGCUGAGGAGCGAAAGUGUGGGGAGCGAACAGG
rnacentral:rRNA from 1 species